CAGAGCAGGAGACCCUGAGCAGACGUCCCAGGGGCAAAACAUGGACGGGGAGAAGAUCUCAGGCGACAACCCAGAGGUCAAGAAGAAAGGCCUAACCACUGUGGGUGUCAGCAAAGGCUGGACUGCUCAAGAGGUCAGGCAAGAGGCCAGAGGUGAGGACUGACAACCAAGGUGGCGCAGCUGGGACGCUCAAAAUAACAGGCUAACGCUGAAGCUAGCAGGCCGAAGACAAGCUGGAAGUUAGACAGACAAGCUGGAAGUAAGACAGACAAGCUGGAAGUUAGACAAGACAAGCUGGAAGUUGAGAAGAAGUCAAGAGAGUCCAGCAAAUCAAACAAGGGAAUGUCUGGACCAGACUUUGUCCUGGUACAUGAUGGACAUGUCUCCUUCAGGCUGUGGUCUCUGCACACAGUGGCUCAAGGUUGUCAUUAGGAGUUGUGGGCCCAAAGUGAAAAUUCCACGCUGCACCACCUGGUUCUGUGAUGGCAGCUAGACACUUCUUUGAACCUGCUCCUGAACGCAGAGGGCAGAUUUCCCCACUGAAGCUCAUGCGGAAAUGCUCCUCGUCCAUAAACAUGUAUCUUACCAGCCUGUGGUCCUCCGGCAAAACGAUGCCCCGGAUUCAAACUGAUUAAACACAUGAGUAACUCUACCAGAGGCAAAGAGCACAGAUGUCUCCUUUUUAAAACCAACGAUGAUGCGACACUAUCCUGCCUCUUCAGAUGGAGACUGAUGGACUGGACAGUGAUGGAGCUCAUAUUUCCUUCAGAGGUGGGAGCUUGUUUAAUUAGCAGCGUGUUUAAGGCCAGAGACAAAUGGAGUCUAAACCCAAAGGAACAGAAUUCAAGCAAGACACAUUAAUGAAAUUAUAUUAAGAUUUUAAAAUGAAAACAUCUGAAUUUGUAA